rnacentral:snRNA from 1 species
GUGCUUGCUUCAGCAGCACAUAUACUAAAAUUGGAACCAUACAGAGAAGAAUAGCAUGGCCCAUACGCAAGGAUGGCACACAAAUUCGUGAAACACUCCAAAUUUUU